GACGAACGCUGGCGGCGUGCUUAACACAUGCAAGUCGAACGGAAAGGCCCUGCUUUUGUGGGGUGCUCGAGUGGCGAACGGGUGAGUAACACGUGAGUAACCUGCCCUUGACUUUGGGAUAACUUCAGGAAACUGGGGCUAAUACCGGAUAGGAGCUCCUGCUGCAUGGUGGGGGUUGGAAAGUUUCGGCGGUUGGGGAUGGACUCGCGGCUUAUCAGCUUGUUGGUGGGGUAGUGGCUUACCAAGGCUUUGACGGGUAGCCGGCCUGAGAGGGUGACCGGCCACAUUGGGACUGAGAUACGGCCCAGACUCCUGCGGGAGGCAGGAGUGGGGAAUAUAGCACAGUGGACGGAAGACUGAUGCAGAAACGCCGCGUGCGGGAUGACGGCCUUCGGGUUGUAAACCGCUUUCGCCUGUGACGAAUCAUAAGUGACGGUAAUGGAUAAAGAAGCACCGACUAAUUAAGU
rnacentral:rRNA from 1 species